UGGGGAAUAUUGCACAAUGGGCGCAAGCCUGAUGCAGCCAUGCCGCGUGUGUGAAGAAGGCCUUCGGGUUGUAAAGCACUUUCAGCGGGGAGGAAGGCAGUACGGUUAAUAACCGUGUUGAUUGACGUUACCCACAGAAGAAGCACCGGCUAACUCCGUGCCAGCAGCCGCGGUAAUACGGAGGGUGCAAGCGUUAAUCGGAAUUACUGGGCGUAAAGCGCACGCAGGCGGUCUGUCAAGUCGGAUGUGAAAUCCCCGGGCUCAACCUGGGAACUGCAUUCGAAACUGGCAGGCUUGAGUCUUGUAGAGGGGGGUAGAAUUCCAGGUGUAGCGGUGAAAUGCGUAGAGAUCUGGAGGAAUACCGGUGGCGAAGGCGGCCCCCUGGACAAAGACUGACGCUCAGGUGCGAAAGCGUGGGGAGCAAACAGG
rnacentral:rRNA from 1 species